rnacentral:rRNA from 1 species
CCUACGGGCGGCAGCAGUGAGGAAUAUUGGUCAAUGGACGAGAGUCUGAACCAGCCAAGUAGCGUGAAGGAUGACUGCCCUAUGGGUUGUAAACUUCUUUUAUCAAGGAAUAAAACGAGGCACGUGUGCCUUUUUGCAUGUACCUUAUGAAUAAGGAUCGGCUAACUCCGUGCCAGCAGCCGCGGUAAUACGGAGGAUCCGAGCGUUAUCCGGAUUUAUUGGGUUUAAAGGGAGCGUAGGUGGGUUGUUAAGUCAGUUGUGAAAGUUUGCGGCUCAACCGUAAGAUUGCAGUUGAUACUGGCAGUCUUGAGUACGGGUGAGGUAGGCGGAAUUCGUGGUGUAGCGGUGAAAUGCUUAGAUAUCACGAAGAACCCCGAUUGCGAAGGCAGCUUGCUAAACUGUGACUGACAUUGAUGCUCGAAAGUGUGGGUAUCAAACAGGAUUAGAUACCCCAGUAGUC